rnacentral:rRNA from 1 species
UACGUAGGGCGCAAGCGUUGUCCGGAAUUACUGGGCGUAAAGGGCGCGUAGGCGGCCCUCUAAGUCGGACGUGAAAUCCCCGGGCUCAACCCGGGAACUGCGUCCGAUACUGGAGGGCUUGAAUCCGGGAGAGGGAUGCGGAAUUCCAGGUGUAGCGGUGAAAUGCGUAGAUAUCAAGAGGAACACCUGAGGUGAAGACGGGUUGCUGGGCCAACACUGACGCUGAUGCGCGAAAGCCAGGGGAGCAAACGGG